rnacentral:lncRNA from 1 species
GACGAGGUACUUGCUCGCACUUAACUUAUCGUGUUUUAGGCCUCAUUAAUGAUGGUUCUCUCUAAAGCGUGGCUCUGCUGGAUGGGAAAGUUAUGUGGAACUCGGAUUAUGAACGUGAUUUAUGUGAAUUUCUCACGUUAGAAUAAUCCAUGAAGAAGAAAGUCAACUCUCGAGAAUCUGGCUUGAUUUAGCGAAGUCUUUAUGCGCUUCAUAUGUUUCACUAGUGAAUCUUUGCUUAAUUUUGAUUCCCAAACUUUAUAUCCAAGUCGAAAACACACACACACAGAUAUGUAUAUAUAUAUAUAUAUAUAUAUAUAUAUUCAUUGAGGGAGAGAGAGAGUUUUGGUCCUAUUUUUCUAGAGUUGUUUUAUUUUGGCAGGUCCUAGUCGUCACGACUCAUCAUGGUGUGCCUGCGGAAUUUUAUGGGGCAAAGGUUAUCGGUUCCUGGAGGUAAACUUCUUCAUUAGCUAGCAUAUGAAUUUCGUUGUGUUCGGUACGGUGAUCAAAAUCCCCACUCGCAUUGAGCCUGUCAUUUCUGGUGCCUGCUUGGGAAUAUUUAAACAAGUCUUUAACAGGUUCAGGUUGUUGUGUCGUAACGUUAAAGUUUUAGUAUUUCUUAUUGGCAGUUUUCCACUGCCUUGGUAUAAGGCUGUUCCUAUGUCGCUUGCGUUGAGCCCACGCAUAUACAAGGAGGUGAAGGACUUCAAACCCGAUAUUAUUCAUGCAUCAUCUCCUGGAAUAAUGGUAAGUGUUGCUUGGAUUCUAGUGAAUGAUGUCAAUAUGACCUCGUCUUGUUCUUAUAUAUUCAUUCAUUAGAUCUUACAUAUUUGAGACUUUGUAAAGAGUCCUACUUAUGAAAACCACUUGUUCGAAUCCAGAAAAGAGUAGCACUACUCUUGAAUGUCUGUCGAAAGAAGCGUUAAUUCAGAGUCGUUCGUAGAGCUGGCCGACUGAAACCAGCUUGGUCCUUACAUAUCAGCUCUUUCAAUUUAUUGCUUGGACGCUAAGGACUGCGUUUCGCAGGUUU